GACGAACGCUGGCGGCGUGCUUAACACAUGCAAGUCGAGCGGUAAGGCCCUUUCGGGGGUACACGAGCGGCGAACGGGUGAGUAACACGUGGGUGACCUGCCCUCAGCUCUGGGAUAAGCCUGGGAAACUGGGUCUAAUACCGGAUAUGACUCCAUGACGCAUGUUGUGGGGUGGAAAGCCUUGUGCGGCUGAGGAUGGGCCCGCGGCCUAUCAGCUUGGUUGGUGGGGUGAUGGCCUACCAAGGCGACGACGGGUAGCCGGCCUGAGAGGGCGACCGGCCACACUGGGACUGAGACACGGCCCAGACUCCGUACGGGAGGCAGCAGGUGGGGAAUCUUGCGCAAUGGACGAAAGUCUGACGCAGCGACGCCGCGUGUGGGAUGACGGUC
rnacentral:rRNA from 1 species